ensembl:lncRNA
UGUUUUUUGAAGUUACAUAAAUGUUUAAAAAUUCACAAAAAGUGAUGUAAACUGAUUAAGAUGACUAGAACAAAACUGUAUAAGAUCUCUUCAGCCUGUGUUUACCACAGAUCUUAUUUUCGGUGUUUAUACAAAAACCCUACAAAAACUCUAUUCAUUUUCCCUUAGGCUUUGUUCAACGAACCAUGGCAGAGUUAAUGCCUACAAAAAGACGUCAUCACUGUUGCUUUCUAUAUCACCACCACCACCUUCUUCUUCGUCAUCAUCAUCGUCGUCGUAAACAAAUGCUCUCCUUUCAACCAAUCAGCGUGCCGGAAUGGACAUUUGGGACCCUGAUCCCUCCCACUUCAGCGCGGGAAGAUGGAAAACAUCACUCUCAAAUAUCUCUGCAGUCCCUUCCAUACCCUCAUUGCUUUGGAAAGUCAAUGGAAAAGGGUGAACGGGUCUGAAAAUGAACGAGACAAAGAGUUAAGGAAUGAGGCAGUGGUGUUUGUUCAGCCCAGGCUACAGCUUCCCAGAUAUUGUAACUUGAAUUUAGGCCUGCCUACAUACAGAUAUCUCAAUUUUAAAUAGCCAACAAAAAAACGACAGUACAUCAUAAUGGAGAGAUGGUUGCAAUCUGGAGAAAGUUGUACAUCCUUUAAAAAUAACUAUUAAAUAAGUGUUGAUAUGGGACCUGUAUAUUAGGGUUUUUUGUCUCAAAGCAAUGAGGUAGACCAUGACUUGUUGUCAAUUUUGACACAUAACAACAAAAUCACUAGUCUUCCACACAGCUAUGGACCCUUAAGAUGAAAGGCUGCAUGCUUUAUUGGUUUUAGAAGACAAAACUCACAUAGAGACACAUUGGGUGUGCUGGAGCAACCCAAAGAAUCAAAUAAUCAUUCAUCAAGUCAACGUUGAGUCUGAUUUGGGAAAGAAUAAUAUGUGUACUUUAUCUCCUUAUAGUCUCAUUAUUAGCAUGAUGGCAGUACAUCUAAGUGUAAACAAUAAGUAGGCCUAUGCCCCCCUUGAAUACACUAUGCUCAGUAAUUUGAUAGCAUGAUCUCAUCUAGCUUCAUUUUACUGUACCCUUGCCUAUUCAGUUGCCAGGCUACAAGAUGUACUCAAGGUGGCCUCCUUUAGCUAAUGUUUAAAGGACUGAAGCAUAUUUUCAGGGAACCUCAGCCUCCUUCCAGCUGAACUAAUCUCUAUACAUCACAACAACCUUCAGGCUGAAGGCUAAAGGCAUUUGAAUGAGGUAAUGCCAGUUCUAGGUGACCUUCUCCUUGUAAUAGAAGAUUUAAUGAAGACAACUUAUCAAGUGCCCUUACUUGCAAUCAAAGAAGCGCAUGACAGAAAGUAAAAAAUAACAAUGACAUUAUACGUUUUAUACCUCUGCUCAUUUUGAUAUGGCCAGAUGUCUUGUCAGUUCUGCAACGUUGCCUCCUUGUAGUGAACAUAAAAUAACAUAUAUGAACCACAUUAAACCUAAUUCAAAUCUCGACUAUGGGGUAACCAGGGAUUGCCUCUGAGCUGUUUGUAUAACAUAUGUCCACCAUAUGUCUGUCUGACUUCUGUACUCAUAACAUAAACGUAUCAGUCAACAUCAGAUAUCAAAUGUUCUACCGACCACUGUUACGAAGCAGCAGCAGCAGUACAGAUGUUUAUCAGACCAUUAACUAAUGACUGCAUGUCUCGUCGUGGUGCAUCACAUCAUUUUUCAUAAACUCACCGAACAUUUUAGAACUGCUUAAUACAUUUGGUAACACAGGCUUCAUAUCAGAGGGUUAUGAAGGCGUAUGAGGGACAUGGUGCUUAACAGAUGUUGUUUCCGUAGUGUUAAAGAGACAGUUGGUGGUGGUGCCACCUUGUUCUACAGCCUCUAAGACCCUGGGGUGGUAGUGGAAGGACAAGGCCAGGGUGAUGUAGAUGGGCACACCAGCUGGAUGGAGAGCCAGUGAUAAGCCCCAGCGAUAACUAGGUAUCAGGGCACACUGUGUGCCACAAAGGUUGGCACAUGCAGUUACUGCCCUGUAGUUAGGCAUAGAGAGAACCCCUAAAGAUAAGCUGUGUCUUUGAGGUUCCCUUUGAACUGAUCUGUUUCAAUAACAUGUGCAUAAAAUACAAAUUUGAAUUGUAUUUUUGAGCCCCAAUUCAGUUUUUUAUACUGGAAAUAUAGACAUGAAUAGCAUAACAAAAGCAAAUGGUCAUGUUUGUGCAAUGAUGUGAUGAUUAAUCCAUUUAUUUGACUAUGUUCUGGCAAUUAUUAAACACUAUUAGAAUCACAACAACAUGUAUUUUCUUCCCUUAACUCUUGUUGUUGCCCACUGAAUAUUUGGAACAUCAAGGUAUUGUGUAGUAUGUACAUAUUGUAUUAUUCCCCCCAAAAAAUCUCUGUUACUGUAGGCUGGUGAGUGAUUUGGAAAAAUUCAUUUCCAGAAUGUCGAGGGUAUUUGUAAUCACGCAGCUGACCAAAUUACACAAUAUUUACGUUCUGGGUUAACCAAGAUAAAUGUUUUUGGCAUCUGAAGUCUGUUUGUGAGGUAUGAAAUAUUGUGUGACAUUUGUAGAUGGUUUUGUGGCCGUUAUGUUACUGUUUGGACUCCAAUAACACAUGUAUUGAUAUUUACACAUUAAACACAUGUAGUUAAUGCCUAAAAACUAUUUUAGCUAUUUCAUAGUUAUUGCCUAUUCUAUACUGGCAUAGGCUCUAAUCUAAUGCAUAUUCUCCUCUGCAUAUUAAAGGCUAUACUGCAUGUGCAUUAUAUUUAUAGGGGUUUCCAUCAUAUGUACAGGUCCUGCAUGGUUAGUUGAGUAACUCGAUUGUCACGGACAUGACAGGAAACACAGUUAC